GACGAACGCUGGCGGUGUGCUUAACACAUGCAAGUCGAACGGAAAGGCCCUGCUUUUGUGGGGUGCUCGAGUGGCGAACGGGUGAGUAACACGUGAGUAACCUGCUCUUGAUUUUCGGAUAACUUCAGGAAAGUAGGCCUAAUACCGUAUAGGAUACCCCGCUGCAUUGUGGGGGUUGGAAAGUCUCGGCGGUUGGGGAUGGACUCGCGGCUUAUCGGCUUGUUGGUGGGGUAGUGGCUUACCAAGGCUUUGACGGGUAGCCGGCCUGAGAGGGUGACCGGCCUCAUUGGGCCUGAGAGACGGCCCAGACUCCUACGUGAGGCAGCAGUGGGAAACAUUGCACAAUGGGCGGAAGCCUGAUGCAGCAACGCCGCGUGCGGGAUGACGGCCUUCGGGUUAUAAACCGCUUUCGCCUGUGACGAAGCGUGACUGACGGUAAUCAGUAAAGAAGCACCGGCUAACUACGUG
rnacentral:rRNA from 1 species